UACGUAGGUGGCAAGCGUUAUCCGGAAUUAUUGGGCGUAAAGGGUGCGUAGGCGGUUUCUUAAGUCUUAUGUGAAAUCUCAGAGCUUAACUCUGGGCUGCAUAAGAAACUAUUAGACUAGAGUGCAGGAGAGGGCAACGGAAUUCCAUGUGUAGCGGUAAAAUGCGUAGAUAUAUGGAGGAACACCGGUGGCGAAGGCGGUUGCCUGGCCUGUUACUGACGCUGAAGCACGAAAGCGUGGGGAGCAAAUAGGAUUAGAUACCCUAGUAGUCCACGCUGUAAACGAUGAAUACUAAGUGUUGGGAUAAAACUCAGUGCUGCAGUUAACGCAAUAAGUAUUCCGCCUGGGGAGUACGCACGCAAGUGUG
rnacentral:rRNA from 1 species